UAUUUCUAUAGUCACUAUUGAUGAUGAUGAUAACAAGAGAUCAUCACUAACACCUUUCUGCACUCCACUGGAACAGCAGAGACAUACAUGGAGAAACUACGUGAAGUUGCUAAAGAACUUAAUUUACGUCAUUUUAGAGGAGGAGGAGGUGGGACAGGAACCACUGGAAUAAGAACAAGAGUACACUCACAACCAGCUAUUAAUUUUAAACUGAAGGACUAUAUUAUAUUCUCAAAAAAUGUCAAUGGAGUUCUUGUUACUCAAAAAACAUAAGCAAGACAGAUCCCUCUCUCUCCUUGGUAUCACAGUACUCUGGUUCAUACAUGUACUGUAUAGUGGGUUUUUUUCGAGGAUAAUAAUUUUCGCAAAUGACCUGUAUCCGGAGAUUCGUGAAUUUAUUUUUUGCAUGUUUCCACUAUUCUGCCAUUUUAUACCAUACUAAAGUGAUUUAAUUUUGCGAAUCUUAAAAAAUCUGUAAAAUUUGUGAAGUUUUUUGUCCUCGAAAAACCCCACUAUUAUGGUAUAUGGCUGUAGGAUGGUUUCUACCAUUUACACUGUACAUGGAUGCUUUAAUGUACACACACAAUGUAUAUUGUUUCUGUUAUAUAAUUAGGAUGCAAUG